AGCUUGAGUGUAGUCAUCAAAAGACUGCAGCCACAUGAGUGAUCUCAGGAAGAACCAGCAGAAGAACUUCCCACACUGCUAAGGCACAAUGUUUGGACCAGCCCAGGAUCCCUCACUCACAAGAACUUCUAUCGGACUUAGCUUAUCCCUCAGAAGACCCUGGACACCACCAAAGGUCAUCAGCACAAUCUUGAUGGAUGUCUAAGAAUUGAAGAUUGAUUUUUGCCUAAUGACAAUAAAGUCAUCACUAAGUUAAA